rnacentral:lncRNA from 1 species
CGCCGCCUCUUCCCGCCCCUCGCCGCCGCCUCCUCCUCCUUGCCAUGGCCACCGCCUCCACCUCCUCUUCCAUGUCCCCACUGGUGCCGCUCCUCUCCAUCUGCACCACUUUGGCGCGCCUCCCUCGAUGUCUCAAAACACCGCGGGCCCUCUCCUUCCACGCAUCGGCGAGCCGCCGUCUCCUCCUCAUCGUCGCUGGAUAGGGCCGAGGAUCUCGAUGAUGGGGUGAGGAACACGGUGACCACGUGCGGAGAUUGGGGAGUAGCUCUCCGGCAGCGACGAGCUCCGCCGCCGCCACCGCCGCCUCUUCCCUCAAGCUUGGUCAGGUUUUCACUGAGUUGGUUGGGAGUGCAUAGUAUGUUGCUCAUGAGGUACUGCACAAAUCCAGCAUCAAUCAUCUGGAACAAGGCAACCCCCAACACUUGCCGCAUCUUCCUUUGGUUGGCCUUCAGGGACAGACUUAACACCAAUGCAAACAGAGUUCACAAAAAAUGGGCUAUUGAUCCACACUGCAGCUCUUGCCCAACUAUUGAAACAGCCAACCACAUCAUUCUUCACUGCAAGCUAGCCGACGAAGUUUGGAAAAAGCUAAACCUUCAUAUGCAAGCAAUGAGCAGUGCCAACAUUCAGGCCUUCGUCGAGCUAAUCUUGGAUAAUAUGCCGGAACAACAGAAGCUAGGUUGGCCAGCGUGCUUCGCAGCUUGUGCACAUGGCCUGUGGAAGGCGCGCAAUCAACGGGUGUUCAAACACACUGAGCCUCACUCUGCUACUAUCAUACAACAAAUCAAGGAAAAUCUACGCCUGUGGGUUGCUCUUGAGUUUCUCUACAAAGAGGAUCGUUGUAAUGUUACUAAUGUUAAGGAAGUUGUGCUUAGUGUUAUUGAGAACACACCGGUUCUCCACUUGAUUGAUCCAAAACGAAUCAAGUUCCUGGCAGAAAACCUUGCUGGCAAAGAAAGUGAGACCAACCCAGCCACGGCUCACUUGACCUUGGUUUUGCUUAGUCUGAGACAUGCUGAUUUGCUAUCAUGUUAA